UACGUAGGUGGCAAGCGUUGUCCGGAUUUACUGGGCGUAAAGAGCGCGCAGGCGGUCGUACAAGUCGCGUGUGAAAGCCCCCGGCUCAACUGGGGAGGGUCACGCGAUACUGUUCGACUCGAAGGCAGGAGAGGGAAGCGGAAUUCCCGGUGUAGCGGUGAAAUGCGUAGAUAUCAGGAGGAACACCUGUGGUGUAGACAGCUUACUGGACCACUUCUGACGCUGAGACACGAAAGCGUGGGUAGCAAACAGG
rnacentral:rRNA from 1 species